GCCUAGUUAGCUUAGUUGGUAGCGGUAGCGCGUCUGAACGCUAGGCCGCGGGUUCAAUUCCCGCCCGGGGCG
rnacentral:tRNA from 1 species